rnacentral:sRNA from 1 species
AAAUAAACGGGGGCAGGACAGAGCGGGGUGCGGAGCUGCUGACCUCCCCUCCCUUGAUUGAUCUGAGGGAUGGAACAGUAAACUCGACGUAUGAUGCGUUGUAUGUACUGUACAAUGGUGAUAUCUGAUGCUGUUGUCAGUUCGGGUCUGCUUGUGUUAUUUUAUUUGUUUAGCAGCUGCAGGCGAGAUUUUACCACGUCCCCGUUCACCACCACCCCCCAACGCGGCUGUAUAUACUAUGUAAUGUAACACGUCGUACAGGACAGUGCAGAGUAGGUAUAGUGUACAGUUCUACAUCAGUUGGAACGUGGUGACAUAACUCUGUAGAUGGAAUAUUUGAUCUGGCGGAUUACUUUUUGGCAAAGGGAUACAGGUGGAAGCAUCGAAAUCAAGAAAAUU